GAUCCCUAGUACUGCGAGUGAAGCGGGAAGAGCUCAAAUUUGUAAUCUGGCAGUCCUUUGGCUGUCCGAGUUGUAGUCUGGAGAAGCGUUUUCUGUGCCGGACCGUGUAUAAGUCCCUUGGAACAGGGUGUCAUAGAGGGUGAGAAUCCCGUCUUUGACACGGACUACCGGUGCUAUGUGAUGCGCUCUCAAAGAGUCGAGUUGUUUGGGAAUGCAGCUCAAAAUGGGUGGUAAAUUCCAUCUAAAGCUAAAUAUUGGCGAAAGACCGAUAGCGAACAAGUACCGUGAGGGAAAGAUGAAAAGCACUUUGGAAAGAGAGUUAAAGAGUACGUGAAAUUGUUGAAAGGGAAACGAUUGAAGUCAGUCGCGUCUCCUUGGGACUCAGCUCCACUUUGUGGAGUGCACUUCCCUUGGUUGGACGGGCCAGCAUGAAUUUUGACCAUUAGAGAAAGGCUUUGGGGAAUGUGGCACUCUUUUGAGUGUGUUAUAACCCCUAGUCAUAUGUAAUGGUUAGGAUUAAGGACUGCAGCAUGCCUUUAUGGCCGGGGUUCGCCCACGUAUCAUGCUUAGGAUGCUGGCGUAAUGGCUUUAACCGACCCGUCUUGAAACACGGACCAAGGAGUCUAACAUGUAUGCAAGUGUUUGGGUGGAAAACCCAGGCGCGUAAUGAAAGUGAAAUUGAGUUGGGAACUCUGUGGCGGAGUGCACCGACGCCCGGACCAGAGCUUCUGUGACGGAUCCGAGGUAGAGCAUAUAUGUUGGGACCCGAAAGAUGGUGAACUAUGCCUGAGUAGGGUGAAGCCAGAGGAAACUCUGGUGGAGGCUCGUAGCGAUUCUGAGUGCAAAUCGAUCGUCAAACUUGGGUAUAGCGCGAAAGACUAAUCGAGCCU
rnacentral:rRNA from 1 species